rnacentral:piRNA from 1 species
UGAAAUUCAGAGGGAGAUUUGUGUC